GUUAAGUUGGUCAAAAGCCCAUUUCGGGCGUUGACCCGUCCCUCUCUCUCUCUCUCUCCCCCCACCGUUGAGCAACAACGAUUCCGGCAGCACCGGGCGGCGAGUCCACCACCGAAGUGAUCCUCUCCUCCUCCUCAACUCAGCCCAGUCCUUUAAUCCAGAAGACAUCCACUUUUGGCGGAGAUCGAUGGAAGAGGACGGUGAUUGUCCUUCACUGUUUUCCGACGAGGGCUUGGGCUCCGGUCAUCGAUCCACCUAACGACGUGGUCAUCACGGGAUCCGGCGAGCGUUUUUGCAUCCUUGGCGAAGUUGAGGCAUAGAGUUGGGAAGCUUGGGAGCAGCUGUUGUGGUGCGGCAUCGUGGCAGAGGGAUUGCAUGUCGAUUUCAAGUAAGGAGGAGCUGCUGAGUUCUUUGGUUUUGGAAUAGAUUUAAGGUUGGAGAAUAUAAAGAGACUAUGGCAAAAUUUCCGGCAAGUGGCCGGAAUCCAGCUGGGUAUUCCGGUCAGUCGUCGGAUUCCGGCAAUGCAGCAUUUCCAGCAGAAUACGUGAAGGUAGCUGGCAACUUUCCUUUUUCGUUUAAGUUGUAGUUUACGGUUUAGGAAAACCUGUCAUAUUGAGAAAAUUUCUAUUAUGGGAAACUCUCUAUUUAUGGAAACCCAUUUUUGGGUGCCCUUAGUGAUUUAUGGUGAGAAGUUGUGUAGAGAGGAAAUGAAUGAGGAUUGUAUGGAUGAAAAAAUCAGUUGUAUCUG